rnacentral:rRNA from 1 species
UGCGUAGGCUGCUUUUUAAGUUUGGUGUGAAAUCUCCCGGCUCAACUGGGAGGGUGCGCCGAAUACUGAGAGGCUAGAGUGUGGGAGAGGAAAGUGGAAUUCCUGGUGUAGCGGUGAAAUGCGUAGAUAUCAGGAGGAACACCGGUGGUGUAAACGGCUUUCUGGACCAUAACUGACGCUGAGGCACGAAAGCGUGGGUAGCAAACAGGAUUAGAUACCCUGGUAGUCCACGCCCUAAACGAUGCAUAUUUGGUGUGGGCCAUUCAUUUGGUCUGUGCCGGAGCUAACGCGUUAAAUAUGCCGCCUGGGGAGUACAGUCGCAAGGCUGAA